UUGACCUCGGAUCAGGUAGGGAUACCCGCUGAACUUAAGCAUAUCAAUAAGCGGAGGAAAAGAAAACCAACCAG
rnacentral:rRNA from 1 species